AAGAUGGCUGGCAUUGUUUUGAUUCAAAAUCCUUUUUCAGCAUGAAAUUUACAGAAAUGGAGGAGAACAGAGGCAACAUGAACACAAUAUGACACUCAAUUAACCACAUGCGUCAAUCAGGAGAAACCCAAUGGAUUCCACUUUGUCAGCAGCUUGGCUCGCCGUGUGUGGGUGGAAGACAAAGCCUUUUCAUUACCAGCACUUUCUGGAGGCCUCCAGUUUCCAGGCAUCACCCAGUUCAAUUCUGUAGACCUCCACUAAUGUCUCAGGAUGAAAAUCUAAAAGGUGAACCACAGGAUUGCAUUUAUCUUCUCUGCUUGUUACACUGCUCAGGACACAAUUUAGUCCAGGGAGAGGUUCACAAAAUAACUUCCUUCUUCCUUUCUUUUUGGCCUUAAACUCAGAUUCCUCACUUAUUUAACUGCUUGUAAUAAUAUCAGUGAUGAGGACUGACGGUAUUUUUUUGUGGGCGUAGUUAUGCCUUCAGUCUGCACUUCUGGCUCCCGACUGGAACUUUUCUGAGUUAGGUAAAUUUGGUUUGGUCAACAGAGAUAUUUUUAAACUUUUCUUUAACUUGUCUUUAAACCCUAAAUUCCAAGGAGCUGUAAGGAAACCCCAGCUACCAUCCCUAGUCUAUGCAUUUGUUUAAAAAAAGUAUUUUGUUAAAUGAAUAAAUGAAUCUUGUCACACAUUUUACAAAAACCCAAGUAAGAAAGAUAAAACUUUCAUUUUCCAAGAGCAUGAUUUUUAUUACAUUCAUAAAAAAAUCAUUGGGUAUUCUAACAACACAGAUUAUUUAAUGCUUUUCUUCCAUUUAUUUUCUUAUAUAGGGAUAUAUAAA
rnacentral:lncRNA from 1 species